UAAGACCCAAUUUAUGCCCAGGCCCAAAAUUACAACCCAAAUUCCAAACCCAAAAAAAGAACAAGGCCCAGAUGGCCCAAAAUUAAAACAAUUUCAGCAAAAGUCAGAAACCUAGAAACCCUAGUGCGCCGCAUCUUGCUACCCAUGUGCCUCCAGCGCACUCGUCGCCCGAGGUCUGCCACCGCCAGCCAUCUUUGCACCAAAACGGCAAAUCUUUACCUCCGUUGACCGCAGCGUCAGCAAAGGAAAGCCGAAAGGAAUACAUGCAAAAGAAAAAAUAACAGCAAGGCAAAAAGAAAAGAGAAAAACGAAAAAUGUAAAACAACGGCUAUAAAAGCCGAAUCAAACAAAUGUAAAAAAAGGGAGGAGAUCAAUAAAAAAACUGAUUAUCAAAAGGUUGAUUUCGACUUUGGCUUUAAUUUUUGGUCUUAGUUUUUAUUCGUUUUUUAUUUCUAAUACAUAUUAAAUAAAAAAGGAAGAAAAGAGAAGAGGGAACUCACCGAGUCGAUCCGUUUUCUCAUCGUCGGAGGCUUUUUCUCCGGUGACAAAAUCGGCUGUAGGGGAGCAUUGAGGGCCCUUUUCCUUCGUUUUUGGUUGUUUUGAGGCCAGAUCCGGAUUUAGGAGGUUGGGAUCUACAAAGAGGCACCUUUUUACCCUCUCCGACCACCGUGCACGGCGGCACCGACGCCGGCGACCGACGGCCGGCACGGUGGACCAGUAGCCGAAGCUGGCCGGGUGCAA
rnacentral:lncRNA from 1 species